AAAGUCGUAACAAGGUUUCCGUAGGUGAACCUGCGGAAGGAUCAUUAUCGAAUUUUGAAAGGGGUUGUAGCUGGUCUUUCACGAGGCAUGUGCACACCCUGCUCAUCCAUUCUACACCUGUGCACAUUCUGUAGGUCGGUUUGAAUGGUUCUCUCAGGGGAGCUGUUUGGCCUUCCUAUGUUUUUAUUAUACACACUUUAAGUCAAAGAAUGUAAUCUGCGUCUAACGCAUCUUAUACAACUUUCAGCAACGGAUCUCUUGGCUCUC
rnacentral:misc_RNA from 1 species